rnacentral:rRNA from 1 species
AGUGAACGCUGGCGGUAGGCCUAACACAUGCAAGUCGAACGGCAGCACAGUAAGAGCUUGCUCUUACGGGUGGCGAGUGGCGGACGGGUGAGGAAUACAUCGGAAUCUACUUUUUCGUGGGGGAUAACGUAGGGAAACUUACGCUAAUACCGCAUACGACCUACGGGUGAAAGCAGGGGAUCUUCGGACCUUGCGCGAUUGAAUGAGCCGAUGUCGGAUUAGCUAGUUGGCGGGGUAAAGGCCCAUCAAGGCAACGAUCCGUAGCUGGUCUGAGAGGAUGAUCAGCCACACUGGAACUGAGACACGGUCCAGACUCCUACGGGAGGCAGCAGUGGGGAAUAUUGGACAAUGGGCGCAAGCCUGAUCCAGCCAUACCGCGUGGGUGAAGAAGGCCUUCGGGUUGUAAAGCCCUUUUGUUGGGAAAGAAAAGCAGCAGGUUAAUACCCCGCUGUUCUGACGGUACCCAAAGAAUAAGCACCGGCUAACUUCGUG